AGCACCUCCUCCUUUCGUUCCCUGUACGGCGACGAGCGCUCACCGGAUCCAAGAACAACGAAGCCCCCUCUAUCUCUCUCUUUCUUGUUCUUCUGUCUUCAUUCGUGCUUGGAGGGUUGGUUUGUCCCUCUUCGCUUUGGUGGUUCCGCAACUUCUGAACCCUGAUUUUGUGUUGUCGCUGGUUAGACGACGACGACGACGACGACGGC
rnacentral:precursor_RNA from 1 species